UAAAAAAGUUAGCUGGAGAUUAGAUAUUUACUUUAUUUUACUUUUUAGAUUCAGAAAAAAAAACUAAUAUAUAUUGUAAAGAUAUUAAAAUAAACAAGUUGGAUAGUUAGUAGGGUUGGUUAAACUGUUAUCCUUGUACCAACUCGAGCAAGGGGACAAGCACGGUUCGAAUCCCCUCGGUGCAAAAUUGAACAUUUUGCUGCAAUUUUACUGAUGGAAGGAGGACACGUGGAGAGAAGCAAAUGGAGAGCAGUUGCAGGUGCACGUGCAAAGCACCCAGUGAGGCAGUGACCCGGUCAAACAUUUCGGCAUGGAGCAGUGACCGGACACGUGGAGAGAAGCAAAUGGAGCGCACGUCACUGGCAGUGACCCAGUCAAACAUUUCGGCGGAAGGCGCAGAACAGCACAGUGCAAUUGGUGCAAAAUUUCGGCGGGAAAACGAGAUUUCAAAAGUUUCGGUGGGUUUUCGAAAAUAUCGCCGAAAUAUCGCGAGUUUCGGACGAGAAAUUCUAUCGCUGGGUGAUAAAAACGAAAAUUUCGGCGAAAUAUCGCCGAAAUUUUCGAUUUUUUCUUCUUGCUUUUUUCGUUGUUUAUAAAUAAUUUAAGGCAGGGAUUUAUAAAAUAAGCAUAUAUAGGUAGAGUAGCCCGUAUAAAAAAUUAAAUAUGCAGAGAUAUAGACAGAAAAUAAAACAAAAAAAUCUUCCUAAAUCUACUCCACUCUUACAUGGCACCACAACUCCACAUAUCUUUUAUUAAAAACAUAUAAUCAUUCACCUAAUGACCUUUAUAAUCAUUCACCUAAUUACCUUCAUCACUCCAAGUCUUCUUUAUAAUCAUUCACCUAAUUACCUUCAUCACUCCAAGCUUCAUCACUCCAAGUCUUCUUUAUAAUCAUUCACCUAAUUACUUUCAUCACUCCAAGUCUUCCCUUCCUUGUUCUCCAACCCAAAAAAAGAGACUCUCCCCUGUCGAAAAAAAAACUCCAAGUCUCC
rnacentral:lncRNA from 1 species